UUCGUUUGUGUCCAACGACUAGACCAAGACCGCUUACGGAUCCCCACCUUUAUCAAUACUUCAUAUAUACUCGCAAUAUUCAGAUUGCUUUUAUCAUAUUCUUGCUUGUUCUUCGAUUGCUUGCAGGAAUAGACCUUCGUGGUCAGGUUGAUCGUGCUCCGGCGUCGUUAAUAACCUUUCGGAGUUGGUUUAGCGAUUGCUAAGGCGCAACGUCGUGCACGUUUGUAGUCGGAUCGUCAAAGUCAUCUUCACCAAAUCGAUAGUUAUCAUCUCAUCGGAAGAUCGGGACACCCCGUCUCUAUGAAGUGGUAUCAGUUUUCAGGUUGCUCGGUGAGAAUUUCUAGUUUUCCCUAGAUUAGAUUUAUUUUCUUACCUAUUAUCCAAGAAAAAGCCACAAAAAAAGUUAGAUCUGUUCAUCCUUUGUCCAAGCCAGUCUGAGCCUUUGCAAUUUUCUUUUCAUUGUAUGCAUUAUUGAAUUAUCGGUUGCAUCGCCGUGUCGAGUUGCUGGUCUUAGUGUCUAGUUCGUUUAGAGUUUCGAGUUCUGCUCACAUUAGUCACGCCACCGCUGCAUCGUUAUCCCUUCCGCUGUCCACCACCCAUCCAUCAAUUUCCACCACGUGCUACCCAUCGUUCAUGGUCAUAAUCAUAGUUGAGGUCAUUCACAUCUUCGCCUGAUCCAAUCUGCAUCUUAUCUAGUUUGUCUUGGAAAGAGGGAGAAAAAAAGAUAGAGAAAAAAAAGAGAAAGAAAAGUCAGAGACAAAAAAAGAAAAAGGAAAAAAAAGUGUGAGAAAAAAAGAAAGAAGAGAAAAAAACAAAAUUUGGAUCUAUCUAGACUCAAUCUUGUAGUUGAAUUCAGACUGGAAUCUGUUUUGUGCACUGUUCAGUAAAAAAGGCAUAACUUCCUCAUACGAACUCUGUUUUGGCUCCACAAGUACUCAAAUUAAAGCUAGCGACUAGACGCAUCUGAAUAAUUGCAAAAGCUAAUUCAAUAUUUGGCGUCUCAAAAUCAGCUUCUAAAUAGGUCUUUUUCCCUCUGAAGUUUGCGCAUACAGUUUGUUCCAGUUUUUCAGGCCAGUUUUAGAAUUCUUUGACUCCUCAUAUCAAUUCAGAAUUGAGUGAUUCUUUUUGCAUUGGAAAGCUUGAGUUAGUAGCAAACUUUUCAAGAGGAAAUUUGGAGAGAGAGUUGUUAUAUAUCCUGCUUGGCAGUUGUUAUUCAUCAUUAUCUUUACUGCCGUUAUGAUCUUCACUUAUAUCUUGCUGUCCAGAGCUACUUAUCCUUCAUUGAUACUAGUUGUGCUAUGCCGUGACCUCAUUAGUGUUAUAGGCUCGCAUCUAUAGUCCGGUCUAGCCUAGGACCAGCACAGUACCGUCGUUGAGCGUUUAUUCAACAUUGCAUCUUUAAAUUGAUUAUUGCUAAUCUUUUGCUACCAUAUAUAGCCAAUCCAGCUCCACAUAUUUCUACACCGUGUAUACGUACGUUCCCCUGGCAAUCACUUUACAUAAUCUUCGGAGUUAUUUGACACCGCUGGUUGCCUGUCACCACCUAUCGCAUGGUAAGAAAACUUGUAAGAUAUUGAUAUUUGCUUUACUGUGAGCACGUUACAACCACAUCCUAGUUGUUCAUAGGAACAUUAUUCUCGAGUUUUGUUUCUUGUUUCUACUAAUCAUGACAGGUUUCGGAAAAAGAAGUUCUUGGACGACGAACACAUCUUCACCAUCACGAGAGUUGGGACAACACACACAAGCACAUGGUCAGGUUAUCUCUUUACCAUCAUUUGAGGGUAGAUUUAAUCCUGCUAUUUAUCUAGAUUGGGAGCUUGAAGUAGAACAAGUUUUUAGUUACCAUGACUUUUCUGAACUUGAGCGAGUAUGAGCUGCCAUUAGAGCAUUUACUAGUUUUGCUUCUGUUUGGUGGAGUGUGCAUUGUAAGAAAAACAUUGAUAACCAACCCACAACUUGGAAAGAUUUGAAACAUGUAGUGAGACAACAAUUUUUCCCUCCUUACUAUCGUCAUGAAUUGCUUCGCAAAUUCAAACAAUUUAAACAAGGCAAUAACACUGUUCAUGCUUACUACCAAGAGUUCAAAUCUUAUAUGCAUCAUUGUGACAUAGAAGAAUCUGAGGAUGAUACAAUGAAUAGAUUUUUUGGUGGUUUGAACCAUGAUAUUCAGGCAAGAUUUAGGUAUAUUCCUCGUUGCAUUACUGGUAUGUAUGUUCGUGCUUGUACCUUUGAGAGAUAGUUACAGGAGGAUGCAUUGGGUGACUACAACAACUACUAUUCCAAUUCAUGCUCACUACCAUCGGUUGAUUCCUCCACCGUUGAACCUACUAGAGCAGCCACACCUCAGAUUGUGAGUGCGACAUCAUCUCAAGUGUAUGAUACAUUGUCAUUGUCCAUACCGACAUCAGCUACGUCUUUGCGACAACGUAACAGUAAAGGUAUUGAUGAUAUAACUUCACAUGAGAAUGAUGCAUCCCUAAUUAACUUAAAUACAUCAUGUGUUGAGUUACCUGUUGAUUUGAGCACGCCACCUAUUUUAGAGAAUCAUGUUACUAUCAUGAAUGCAUCAUGUGAUCAAACAACUGAAAUACCAACAAUUUUGAGUGCACCCAUUGAAUUAACUAUUGAUGCAAAAGAACCAAUGUUUAAUCAUUUUGAUAUGACCUCUAAUCUUGGUGAUGAUUCUGUGUCCAAUGACUUACUGCAUGUUUGCUUAUUUAAGCAUGUUGUAGCAUGUAAAUGUGAUGCAAGUAAGGUUCUUUCACCAAUGUUGGAAUGGUUUAAUGAUGAAUAUUGUCAAUCUUUUGAUAGGAAUAAGAGCUUCACUUAUAUGUGCAAACUGAGUUGCAAUAUUUUCAUGCCUUCUACUUAUCAUAAUAUUUUGGCUUUAUAUUUUAUGAUCUAUGAAAGUUACUCAUGUAUACAUGUGUCAUAUGUGCAAAAAUCAAGGGAAGUAAAAAUGGAUGACAUAUACAUAUACAACAUGUAUACCUUGUCUCUUUUGUUAGCCACAUUUCAGAUUAAGCAACGCCGAUGACGGCUUUGUUUUCAAAAAGGGGAGGAUGAUGAGGACAUGACUACCUUGGAUACGACCAAAAAUAUUUCAUACAUGCAUAUUUGUCAGGUCAUUUCUAGUGCAAACUAUUCAAUAAUCUAUUUACGUUAUCCAGAACAAAAAUACUUCACACACUUUUGUGUUUUGUCUAAUUACAGGUGUAUGGGAUAUUUGUACAAUUCACAUAUGAAGAUAAGGGAGAAAUAUAUGUUUAAGUGUUGUUCAAAAAGUUCUCUCACGUCACUUUUGGGCCAAGAGAAGAUAGAGUCCAAGUCUCUCACGUUCUGGAUUCAGAUUCGGACUACACAGACAUACCUGACUCAAAACGCCAACAACUUUUUCAUACGGACUCCGAAUUGGGUGAUUCAUUUUUUCUUGGAUUCUAGAUUUUGUGAUCUUUCCAGCCCAAUUGGAUUCACCUUCAAAUUCGUCCGGAGCGUUGAGAUAUCGACGAAACAAUCAGACGCUGCAGCAGAAUCUGAGUCAAACAACAAGUCCAAAGGUGUUGCAUCACCUCCACUUGGGCCCAUUGGCCUUGUACGACCUAGGGUUAGUUUUAGGCUGCCUUGGGACGUCCUCCCACCUCCUAGGCCGCCACCCCUUGCUCCUAUAUAAGUAGAUCCAUCUGGUAGCUUUUCCCUUGGGAUUUGUUUUGUUAAAAGUUAGCCAUUACAACUUCGUGUACUUCGUUUGUGUCCAACGACCAGACCAAGACCGCUUACGGAUCCCCACCUUUAUCAAUACUUCAUAUAUACUCGCAAUAUUCAGAUUGCUUUUAUCAUAUUCUUGCUUGUUCUUCGAUUGCUUGCAGGAAUAGACCUUCGUGGUCAGGUUGAUCGUGCUCCGGCGUGGUCAAUAACCUCUCGGAGUUGGUUUAGCGAUUGCUAAGGCGCAACGUCGUGCACGUUUGUAGUCGGAUCGUCAAAGUCAUCUUCACCAAAUCGAUAGUUAUCAUCUCAUCGAAAGAUCGGGACACCCCGCCUCUAUCA
rnacentral:lncRNA from 1 species